AUGGACAUGCUGUGUGCCACCCUCCUGCUGUGGACUAUACCUUCCUAUGAGUGGGUCCUGCCACAGGUGAUCCUGAAAGAGUCUAGUGGACCAGGGCUAGUGAAACCCACUCAGACCCUUACAUUGACCUGCACCUUCUCUGGGUUCUCACUGAGCACCUCUGGAAUGGGUGUUAGUUGGGUCCGCCAGCCUCCAGGGAAGGCCCUGGAGUGGCUCACAACUGUCUGGUGGGAUAAUGACAAGCGCUACAGCUCAGGCCUGAAGAGCCGACUCACAAUUUCUAAGGACACCUCCACAAACCAGGUGGUCCUAACAAUGACCAGCAUGGACCCCGCAGACACAGCCAUGUAUUACUGUGCACAGAGAGCACAGAUCCUAAACCUGAGGUCAUUCUAA